UAUGGAGGGUGCGAGCGUUGUCCGGAAUCAUUGGGCGUAAAGGGCGCGUAGGUGGCGGGACAAGCGUGCGGUGAAAGCUCGGGGCUCAACCCCGAGUCGGCCGUGCGAACUGUUUUGCUGGAGCACUGUAGUGGCAGGCGGAAUUCCGGGUGUAGCGGUGGAAUGCGUAGAGAUCCGGAAGAACACCGGUGGCGAAGGCGGCCUGGUGGGCAGUUGCUGACACUGAGGCGCGACAGCGUGGGGAGCAAACAGG
rnacentral:rRNA from 1 species